GGGGGUGUAGCUCAAUUGGUAGAGCGCUUCGCUGGCAGCGAAGAGGUCGCAAGUUCAAUCCUUGUCUCCUCCACCA
rnacentral:tRNA from 2 species